AUUGAACGCUGGCGGCAUGCCUUACACAUGCAAGUCGAACGGCAGCACGGGGCAACCUGGUGGCGAGUGGCGAACGGGUGAGUAAUGCAUCGGAACGUACCUUUCAGUGGGGGAUAACGUAGCGAAAGUUACGCUAAUACCGCAUAUUCUGUGAGCAGGAAAGCAGGGGAUCGCAAGACCUUGCGCUGAUUGAGCGGCCGAUGUCAGAUUAGCUAGUUGGUGAGGUAAAGGCUCACCAAGGCGACGAUCUGUAGCGGGUCUGAGAGGAUGAUCCGCCACACUGGAACUGAGACACGGUCCAGACUCCUACGGGAGGCAGCAGUGGGGAAUUUUGGACAAUGGGGGCAACCCUGAUCCAGCCAUGCCGCGUGAGUGAAGAAGGCCUUCGGGUUGUAAGGCUCUUUCGGCCGGGAAGAAAUCGCACGGGCUAAUACCCUGUGUGGACGACGGUACCGGCAUAAGAAGCACCGGCUAACUACGUGCCAGCCGCCGCGGUAACAC
rnacentral:rRNA from 1 species